UACGAAGGGUGCAAGCGUUACUCGGAAUUACUGGGCGUAAAGCGUGCGUAGGUGGUUUGUUAAGUCUGUUGUGAAAGCCCCGGGCUCAACCUGGGAAUGGCAAUGGAUACUGGCAAGCUAGAGUGCGGUAGAGGGUAGUGGAAUUCCCGGUGUAGCGGUGAAAUGCGUAGAGAUCGGGAGGAACACCAGUGGCGAAGGCGGGUCUCUGGGCCGAUACUGACGCUGAGGAGCGAAAGCGUGGGGAGCGAACAGG
rnacentral:rRNA from 1 species